CAAGUGUAAAGGAUUGUCCACCUAGAGACUCUUUUUUUUUUUUUUGGAACGAAGCCCAUUGCUCAUUCAGGGUGGGGUGUUUAAGGCAGUUUCAGUACGUGAUGGUGAAGUUGGGUAAUGAAUGGAAGGUGUGAACGAGUUUAUAUUAACAAUCAAAAUCCAUAACACGCUUUAACAGAGCCGAUGCAAGAACGUUAUUUCUAUUCACGAACACAUAUCUGAAGCAAUCUGUAAAAAAAGAAAGUAAAUUUAUCACAUCCUGGGGAUAAGAAGGGCAAUGUGACUUAGCAAAGGUGGAUCUUUAUUUUCUUACGUUAAUCGUUACAUAUAGCAAGAGAAAAUAAAAAUGACACCAUUAAUAUUAUCAUUAUUGUAUCACUGUCUACAGCCUGAGACCGCUUACUCACUGAAGCUAAGCAUGGCUGAGCCUGAUCAGUACCUGAAUGGGAGACCACAUGGGAAAACUCGGUUGCUGUUGGAACUGAUUUUACAGAGGGCAGCAGGGGGUGCUCAACCUGCAGUCUGUGUGAGUCCUAAUGCCCCAGUGCAGUGAAGGAGACAUAUACUCUCAGUGAGCACCGUCUUUCGGCUGGUAUCUGCCAUUGUCCUGAAGCUGCCAUCGCAUCUUCCAAGUGGAUACUGCACACUUGUGGUGUAGAGCAGCAGUGUUGUGGAGUCCAGAGGCAGACAGGCCCAAUCAAACGCUCUUGCAGAAGUCCUGGCCUGAACGACCCCACAGACCCAGACAAUAUGGCAGCGUCAACACCGGCAUCCACAUCUGUCCAUCUCUCCCUCUGCAGCGCUGAUAUCUGUGGCGCUUCGGUCACAGUAAUACUUCCAAGGGUAAAAUACAUCAGGAUGAGAAGAGCCUGAACUCUGCAUAGCUGAGCUAUUGGGUCAUAAAUGGGAAAUGACAAAAGUGUGUGUGUGUGUGUGUGUGUGUGUGUGUGUAUCUCGCAGACACAAAAGCCACAUCACUCACUGUGUCCUGUUACAAAGCCAAAGCAAGCAGACAAGUGAAAUGCCUGCUGCAGACAUCGGGGAGGCAGACAUGAGUUGAAUGUAAUGAAACACUCAAGAAUAAACUGAUAUUUGACA